AUGGUGGAUUACUAUGAUGUUCUAGGCGUGCAGAGACGUGCUUCAGCCGAGGAUAUUAAAAAGGCGUACCGAAAACUGACACUAAAGUGGCACCCAGAUAAAAACCCUGAGAAUAAAGAAGCAGCAGAGAGAAAUUUCAAACAAGUAGCUGAGGCGUAUGAGGUGUUGUCAGAUAGCAAAAAGCGGGACAUCUAUGACAAAUAUGGCAAAGAAGGAUUAAACGGUGGAGGAGGUGGAAGUCAUUCUGACAGUCCAUUGGAUUAUGGCUUCACAUUCUGUAAGCCCGAGGAUGUCUUCAGGGAAUGUUUUGGUGGAAGGGACCCCUUUAGAUUUGACUUCUUUGAAGACCCAUUUGAGGACUUUGUUGGGAAGCAGAGGGGUCUUCAAGGAAGCAGAAACCGAGGAACAGGGUCGUUUUUCUCUGGCUUCAGUGGAUUUCACCUUUUGGAAGCGGAUUUUCUUCUUUUAAUACAGGAUUUUCUGUGGGAUUUCCUGCAGGAUUUUCUUCAUUCAGGUCGCUAGAUCAUGGGGGUCUCACUUCAUUCUCUUCCACAUCAUUUGGUGGUAGUGGGAUGGGCAACUUCAAGUCUAUAUCGACUUCUACAAAAAUAGUUAAUGGCAGAAAGAUCACUACAAAGAGAAUCAUGGAGAAUGGUCAAGAAAGAGUGGAAGUUGAGGAAGACGGGUACAGCUCGAGUCCCUGACAAUACAUGGUAAGGAGCAGCUGCACUUGGAUAACAAGUGACUCAACGCACACGUUUAACAGAAAUGUUAACUGUAA